rnacentral:rRNA from 1 species
GAUGAACGCUGGCGGCGUGCCUAAUACAUGCAAGUCGAGCGAAAAGACGCGGAGUUUGCUCCUCUGACGUUAGGGGCGGACGGGUGAGUAACACGUGGAUAACCUACCUAUAUGACUGGGAAAACUUCGGGACACCGGCGCUAAUACCGGAUAAUAUCUUGAACCGCAUGGUUCAAUGGUGAAAGACGGUUUUGCUGUCACGUAUAGAUGGAUCCGCGCUGGUUUAGCUAGUUGGUAAGGUAACGGCUUACGAAGGCAACGAUGCGUAGCCGACGUGAUAGGGGGAUCGGCCACACUGGAACUGGAACGCGCACCUGAGGCCUACGGGAGGCCGCAGUAGGGAAUCUGCCGCAAUGGUGGAAAGCCUGACGGAGCGACGCCGCGCCAGAGAUGAAGAUGUCCGGAUCGUAAAACUCGGUUAUUAGGGAAAAACAAAUUUGGAAGUUACUAUGCACUUCGUGACGGUACCGAAUCAGAAAGCCACGGCUAACUACGUG